CCUAACUUAAGACCAGAUGCUAUAGAUACUACAGUUUCUGAAAAUUUACUGUUGAUAAUAUAGAUCACAAUACAAAAAAGAUUGGAGAUUGAGUGGGUUCAGGUGUGGUUACGCAGGUGACUCCUUGCAAGCAGUUGGUCCAGGAGUCUUGUUUUAGGGCCGGCAUCAGAGAUCAGGCCCAGGACAUUGCGGGCACAGUUCACAGAAAGGAUGCAAGACUCAAAGUUAUUCUGUUCUAAGCUUUGUUUGUUAGUUACAGAGAUUUCUGUCCGUUGGUUAGUAGAUGGCAGUGUUGCCAUAUGGUAAACAAGAGGUUCAUUCUAUAACUUGAGAAGUUCAUGUCGUACAAAAAUAAAGUUGGGUUAAACAUCAAGACAACAUGUGUUGAAAAUGA